rnacentral:rRNA from 4 species
GGUAGCAUAAUAAUUUGUUUUUUAAUUAAAAACUAGGAUGAAAGGGUUAACGAAACUAAAUCUUUUUUUAUUGAUAAUUUAUAAUUUUAUCUUUAAGUGAAAAAGCUUUAAAUAUAUUUAAAAGACGAGAAGACCCCGAGAAUUUUGGUUUAUAAAUAAUUUAAAUAUAUAAAUUAAAUUAAUCUUAGCUGGGGCGGCUAAUAAGUAAAUAAACCUUAUAUAAUUAGACUACUAUAGAAAUUUAUUGAAGUGUAAAAACAUUAAUUGAAAAAUUACCUCGGGGAUAACAGCGUAAUUUUAAUUAAAAGUUCUUAUAAAAAUUAAAGUUUGCGACCUCGAUG